GGUGGGCACGAGCCUGCGUGAAAAAAAAUGGAUUUGGUCGUAAGAGCGUGAGAAAUGGGGUCAACUGCGUGUGCCCUGUCAUGUAGGAGUAUUUUCUCAAGGCCUGCGACUGAGGGUCAUAUUUCAAUUCAAAGGUUUGGAAAUGCGUUACCCAGGAGUCAUGAAAGUUAUCUAGUACAGGAAAGUCAAGCACCUUAUCUUCUAAAAGAUGCUCUGGUGACCAGACUUACAGGGGUCUUGAGCAUGGUGGAGGAGAAGUUUCACAGAGCCAGUAAAGAAGUGGCUAAAAGGAUCGUUAUGAUGUCGGAUGCCAGAUCCACCUAAACUUUCAUCUAGAGCAGUGUUUCCCAAUCCUGGUCCUUGAGUACCCCCUCCUAGAAAGUUUUAUAUGACUCCUUGAUUCAACUCGACAGCUUGUUAGGGAGACCUGUUAACCAUUCUGGAAGGAGGCUGAUUGGUUGUUUUAAAUAAGGAGACAUCUACAACUUUCUGGAAGGGGUAAUUGAGGACCAGGAUUGGGAAGGACUGAUCAUGACGAAGAGGGAAAGAUCCUAUUUCAUCAAAGCUAAAGAAGCAGGAGACUUGGGACACAAGCACAAGCUCACUCCAGACUUGGUUUCUGGCUUUCAGGUUGACAGUGUCAGACAGUUUUUGGAGGAGGGCACAGCGUUGGAUGCCAGAUUCAAGUCAAAAGUGUCAGAUGAAGUGUGGUACAGACUGGAGGAGGAGCUGAUAUAAAUGAACAGGUUCAGGGCCAGCAGAUGAAUCAGGGGCUUAAAGAGAGAGCGGAUGACCAAGAUGACUGCAUAUCUGAUGAAGACAUCUGUGCAUCUGCCAGUGAAACAGUGAAGAGGCCAAAGCUCUCUGCCCUCAAGGAGCUGUUUGCUGUAGAGGACAUAGAAAUAAAAUGCUUUCAUAAAACAUCAUAAGGUGGAAACUGUUGGACAGUUAGGACAGGCUAUGAAUUCUGAGAUGGCAAAGAGAAAGGAGACAUAAGCCUGCCCCCAAUCCAAAUUUAUGCUUUGAUUUUAUAUCUGAAGUCUAGUAUUUGUUGCUGGCUGGUUUCAUGUUGUUAAUGUGCAGUUAAUGGAUAUACUAUAUAUGUGCUUAACAUAUAUAUUAUGUGCAUAAAUGUAUACCGCAUUGUUUGUAAAUCUGAUUUCAGUGCCCACUGAUUUAUUGGGGGAGUGUGAUGAAAAUUUCUGUCAAAUUAAAUAAUUUACAUAAGCUGUGUGUUGAGUGGUUUUUAUUUGUGGGAAAUGUGUUUACACUGUA